CCAAAACGUCACCCAUUCCUUCUCUCCAGAGAUGCUGCCUGUCCCGCUGAGUAACUCCAGCUUUUGUGUCUAUCUUCAGUGAUUUAAAAACACGCUUCAAGAGCGCCUGUGGGCGGGUUGAGAGCGUCGCCGAGGCGGGGACUGGGUGACGUUUCAUCAACCUGGCACCGAGAGGCUGGCGGCCGACAUUACUCGUCAGUGGCGCUUUUGAUCAAUAAGUCAGUGGAAACGAAUUGAACUCAGCUGCCGAUAAAAUGUGUUGAACGUUGCGCGAAGAGGGUAACACGGGACUGAACCAUGUUCC